GACGAACGCUGGCGGCGUGCUUAACACAUGCAAGUCGAACGGAAAGGCCCUGCUUUUGUGGGGUGCUCGAGUGGCGAACGGGUGAGUAACACGUGAGUAACCUGCCCUUGACUUUGGGAUAACUUCAGGAAACUGGGGCUAAUACCGGAUAUGAGCUCCUGCUGCAUGGUGGGGGUUGGAAAGUUUCGGCGGUUGGGGCUGGACUCGCGGCUUAUCAGCUUGUUGGUGUGGUAGUGGCUUACCAAGGGUUUGACGGGUAGCCGGCCUGAGAGGGUGACCGGCCACAUUGGGACUGAGGUACGGACCAGACUCCUACGGGAGGCAGCAGGGGGGAAUAUUGCACAAUGGGCGGAAGCCUGAUGCAGCAACGCCGCGUGCGGGAUGACGGCCUUCGGGUUGUAAACCGCUUUCGCCUGUGACGAAGCGUGGGUGACGGUAAUGGGUAAAGAAGCACCGGCUAACUACGUG
rnacentral:rRNA from 1 species